ACGAACGCUGGCGGCGUGCUUAACACAUGCAAGUCGAACGGAAAGGCCCUGCUUUUGUGGGGUGCUCGAGUGGCGAACGGGUGAGUAACACGUGAGUAACCUGCCCUUGACUUUGGGAUAACUUCAGGAAACUGGGGCUAAUACCGGAUAGGAGCUCCUGCUGCAUGGUGGGGGUUGGAAAGUUUCGGCGGUUGGGGAUGGACUUGCGGCUUAUCAGCUUGUUGGUGGGGUAGUGGCUUACCAAGGCUUUGACGGGUAGCCGGCCUGAGAGGGUGACCGGCCACAUUGGGACUGAGAUACGGCCCAGACUCCUACGGGAGGCAGCAGUGGGGAAUAUUGCACAAUGGGCGGAAGCCUGAUGCAGCAACGCCGCGUGCGGGAUGACGGCCUUCGGGUUGUAAACCGCCUUCGCCUGUGACGAAGCGUGAGUGACGGUAAUGGGUAAAGAAGCACCGGCUAACUACGUG
rnacentral:rRNA from 1 species